GAUGAACGCUGGCGGCGUGCUUAACACAUGCAAGUCGAACGGAGUUUACAUGAAACCUAGUGAUUGUAAACUUAGUGGCGGACGGGUGAGUAACGCGUGGGUAACCUGCCUUAUACAGGGGGAUAACAGUGAGAAAUUACUGCUAAUACCGCAUAAGCGCACGGUGUCGCAUGACACAGUGUGAAAAGAUUUAUCGGUAUAAGAUGGACCCGCGUCUGAUUAGCUAGUUGGUGAGGUAACGGCCCACCAAGGCGACGAUCAGUAGCCGGCCUGAGAGGGUGAACGGCCACAUUGGGACUGAGACACGGCCCAAACUCC
rnacentral:rRNA from 1 species